rnacentral:ribozyme from 1 species
AUGAACCGAAUUGCCCAAGCCUAAUGGGAUCCAAAGCCCCUUUGAGGGAUAAUAGAGGCUCUCCCAUUCAACUCCUAUUCCGACACAUCCUUGUCGUGCAGAGUGUUAACAUGUGCCAGCCAAGCUACGAUACACGGACUAGUUUGCAACUACUCGGGCGGAUGGUGGCACAUGGCAAAUCGGAAAGGG